GCCUCCUUAGUUAAAUGGAUAUAACAAACCCCUCCUAGGGUUAGUUGAGGGUUCGAUUCCCCCAGGAGGUGCCA
rnacentral:tRNA from 1 species